GUGAGUCAUCGAAUCUUUGAACGCACAUUGCGCUCUCUGGUAUUCCGGGGAGCAUGCUUGUUCGACAUCCAUAUUCUGGUGACUCUUCGAUCAUUGCGACCGACGGGUUCUAAUGAGUCUUGCUGGGGUUCUUUAAGUUUCCGGACUUUUUGCGCUCUUGCGACUUGAAUUGGAUGUUCAGCAGGACUAACUAGGUCCUAGCAGCCUCAUGGCGUGUUAAUAUCAUAUCUUUUUGAUUUAUCGCUAAAAGGCUGCUGCGACUGUUAGCUCCUUUAGUUGCUGACUUGCAGGCUUUACAAA
rnacentral:misc_RNA from 1 species